GGUUGUUUGGCCGAGCGGUCUAAGGCGCCUGAUUCAAGCGUUAGCUUAACACUCAGAAAGAGUGGAACCCUCAGGUAUCGUAAGAUGCAAGAGUUCGAAUCUCUUAGCAACCA
rfam:Tetrapisispora blattae CBS 6284 chromosome 3, complete genome